rnacentral:rRNA from 1 species
AUUGAACGCUGGCGGCAUGCUUUACACAUGCAGGUCGAACGGUAACAGGCCGCAAGGUGCUGACGAGUGGCGAACGGGUGAGUAAUGCAUCGGAACGUGCCCAGUCGCGGGGGAUAACGCAGCGAAAGCUGUGCUAAUACCGCAUACGAUCUAUGGAUGAAAGCGGGGGACCGUAAGGCCUCGAGCGAUUGGAGCGGCCGAUGUCAGAUUAGGUAGUUGGUGGGGUAAAGGCUCACCAAGCCAACGAUCUGUAGCUGGUCUGAGAGGACGACCAGCCACACUGGGACUGAGACACGGCCCAGACUCCUACGGGAGGCAGCAGUGGGGAAUUUUGGACAAUGGGCGCAAGCCUGAUCCAGCAAUGCCGCGUGCAGGAAGAAGGCCUUCGGGUUGUAAACUGCUAUUGUACGGAACGAAAAGGUUUGGGUUAAUACCCUGGGCCGAUGACGGUACCGUAAGAAUAAGCACCGGCUAACUACGUGCCAGCAGCCGCGGAAA